GGCGGCGUGCCUAAUACAUGCAAGUCGAGCGGAAUGAUGAAGAAGCUUGCUUCUUCUGAUUUUAGCGGCGGACGGGUGAGUAACACGUGGGCAACCUACCUUGUAGAUUGGGAUAACUCCGGGAAACCGGGGCUAAUACCGGAUAAUCCAUUUUGCUUCAUGGCGAGAUGUUAAAAGGCGGCUUCGGCUGUCACUACGAGAUGGGCCCGCGGCGCAUUAGCUAGUUGGUAGGGUAAUGGCCUACCAAGGCGACGAUGCGUAGCCGACCUGAGAGGGUGAUCGGCCACACUGGGACUGAGACACGGCCCAGACUCCUACGGGAGGCAGCAGUAGGGAAUCUUCCACAAUGGACGAAAGUCUGAUGGAGCAACGCCGCGUGAGUGAAGAAGGUUUUCGGAUCGUAAAACUCUGUUGUAAGGGAAGAACACGUACGAGAGUAACUGCUCGUACCUUGACGGUACCUUAUUAGAAAGCCACGGCUAACUACGUG
rnacentral:rRNA from 1 species